UACAGAGGUCUCAAGCGUUGUUCGGAUUCAUUGGGCGUAAAGGGUGCGUAGGCGGCGCGGUAAGUCGGGUGUGAAAACCUAAGGCUCAACCUUGGGCUUGCAGUGGGUACGGGCAGACUAGAGUGCGGUAGGGGAGACUGGAAUUCCUGGUGUAGCGGUGAAAUGCGCAGAUAUCAGGAGGAACACCGGUGGCGAAGGCGGGUCUCUGGGCCGUAACUGACGCUGAGGAGCGAAAGCGUGGGGAGCGAACAGG
rnacentral:rRNA from 1 species